CACAGUUGGGGCUGCCAUCCCUGUUGAGGAUGAUGUACCAGGGGAGAGAAUCUUAGUUUAUGACCCAAAUAAUCCUUGCAUGGACAUUGGCACUGUGUACCCUAACAUGGAAGAAUUUAGGUUGGCUAUGAGGCAGUUUGCAAUCAAUGAGGAGUUCGAGCUGCACUUAGUGAAAACAGAUAAGACACGAUACAUUGCGGAUUGCAAUGUGGAAGAUUGCCCAUGGCAUAUUAUUGGAAGGAGGCAACCUGAUAAGUGCCUGGAAGAUGGAGGAAACUGAGAAUUAAAGAGUGCUUGGAAGGUGGUAGUGGUGGCAAAACUAAGAAAGAUGCCCAGGAGGCUGCAAAUUAAGCUGAUAAAGAUGCUGAAUUGGAGGUUGCUGAGGCUUCUAAAGGGAAGAGGCAGCUGAUUAGAGGGAAGAGGAAAUGCAAUAGAUGUGGUGAAUUGGGACAUGGAGAGAGUAGCUACAAGUGCUGACUUAAUGAUACAAAGAAGCCUCCAAAAAGAAAGGCAAGGCCAAAUACUACUAAAUAUGGCCCAAAUGCUAAAGUCCCUAAAAAAAGAGCAAAAAAGCAGCCUGAGAAUGAAAGUGGCCAACCUCCAGUAACAACUCCCACCAGAACAAGGGAAACAAUAUUGCAGGAGAGUCCAAAUAGGCUGACAAGAAGACAGCUUUCUAUUCUGAUGGAAGAAGAAACCUGUGCUCGGCCGCAGCCUACUCAUAAUCUGAUGGGAGAAGGCACAAUGGCUACAAAUAAGCGCACUGCAAGGAAGCUGAUCCCAAGAAAAAGGACAAGCUGAGCAUGAAAUUUGUGUUAUCUUAGUAAACUAUUUCAAUCCGACAUCCUGUACUUGUGAACUUAUGUCUUUUUGUGUCACCGUGAGAACUUAUGUAUAGAUUCAACUUAUGUUUUUCAUGUCA